UACGUAGGGGGCAAGCGUUGUCCGGAAUCAUUGGGCGUAAAGCGCGCGUAGGCGGCCCGGUAAGUCCGCUGUAAAAGUCAAAGGCUCAACCUUUGAAUGCCGGUGGAUACUGUCGGGCUAGAGUCCGGAAGAGGCGAGUGGAAUUCCUGGUGUAGCGGUGGAAUGCGCAGAUAUCAGGAGGAACACCUAUUGCGAAGGCAGCUCGCUGGGACGUUACUGACGCUGAGACGCGAAAGCGUGGGGAGCAAACAGG
rnacentral:rRNA from 1 species